AUGCCGCCCGAGUUCGACCCCAAUGAGAUCAAAGUCGUGUACUUGAGGUGCACCGGAGGCGAGGUCCGUGCCACAUUCACCUUGUCCCCUAAGAUUAGUCCUCUGGGUCUAUCUCCCAAAAAAAGUUGGUGAUGACAUCGCCAAGGCUACCAGUGACUGGAAAGGCCUCAGGAUUACAGUGAAACUGACAAUCCAGAGCAGACAGGCUCAGACUGAGGUGGUGCCCUCUGCGUCUGCCCUGAUCAUCAAAGCCCUCAAGGAGCCACCAAGAGACAGGAAGAAGCAGAAAAACAUUAAACACAGUGGAAACAUAACUUUUGAUAAGAUUGUCAACACUGCCCGGCAGAUGAGACACCAGUCUUUGGCCAGAGAACUUUCUGGAACUAUCAAGGAGAUCCUGGGUACCGCACAGUCUGUGGGCUGCAAUGUGGAUGGCCACCACCCUCAUGACAUCAUAGAUGACAUCAACAGUGGUGCAGUGGCGUGCCCAGCUAAUUAAGAAGAAACAAGAAAAUAUUUAAAUAAAAGA